GACGUAGGGCGCGAGCGUUGUCCGGAUUUAUUGGGCGUAAAGAGCUCGUAGGCGGCUUGUCGCGUCGGCUGUGAAAUCCCGUGGCUCAACUGCGGGUCUGCAGCCGAUACGGGCAGGCUAGAGUUCGGUAGGGGAGACCGGAAUUCCUGGUGUAGCGGUGAAAUGCGCAGAUAUCAGGAGGAACACCGGUGGCGAAGGCGGGUCUCUGGGCCGAUACUGACGCUGAGGAGCGAAAGCGUGGGGAGCGAACAGG
rnacentral:rRNA from 1 species